rnacentral:lncRNA from 10 species
GGGAGGGAUCGCGUCCCCCCUCUCCCUCACUUAUCAAUCACCCCACAGAUCAAAUAUCCGGGCUGUGCACCCAGGACGGGGAUGUAAGAGCCCACAAAGGAGCCGCUGCUCCAUUUCUCUGACAAGCGCUGCGGAGCACUGCUCACGCCUCUCGGUCCCUCUUGCCUGGAACUCUGCCCAGCCCUUGCGGCUUCCACCCUGGGCUGCAGCUCGGGCUCGGUCAAGUGAAAUAAGAAUGGCACACGGUCGGUACCAUGUCCAAGGGGAGACUAAGACUACUGGGUGGAAGUUAACGACAAGUGAAAGAGCAGUCAGCCAUCCGAGCUGGACACCCUCCGGGACAGCUGCCUCCCCUAACUAAUUAAAGGCCAGGACUCAUCCUACUCUGAAAUUUGGCCAAGUGACCACCUUGUCCCACACUCAAGUAUAGACUCUCAAGACCUUAACCUUAUGAUGACAAGAAG